rnacentral:lncRNA from 1 species
ACAGUUCCGUUUGACAGAAAUAGGUCCAUUUGACACUUGUCCAUGGUUGGAUUGAGUACAUACAUCCACAAGCUCAAGAAAAUUUUGCCGUCUAAAGGAAAAACUUCAAGUGAAAGACAUCAGUGAUUAAAUCACAGGAAAAUCUAAAAUUUUAAGGCGUCCUCUGAGAAGAUAUAUACAGUCUUGAACUUAGUUAGACACCGGUCUUACACUUAGUUUCAAAGAUGUAAUUUUGUCCCAAAAGGGUUUUGUAAGUAUGUUUUUCAAAAAAUUUUCCUCCUUUCUUAGCCGAUGAAUCGAGACCGAGAGAGACUCUAGUUGAGCAGAAUGUUGCUGAGCAGAAUAUCGCCGAGCAGAAUGAAGCUGAGCAGAAUGUCACCGAGCAGAAUGAAUCAUCGGAUGAAUUGGAAUCUAAUCCUACUAUUACAAUCGUCCAAGCAGAAAUUCAUGAGCCACCAAAUUCCAGGAUAGCUACACGCACUUCAGAAGCGGUCAAGCCUCCGUGUCUUGGAGGGUCUAUUGAACAUAUGGAUAAGAUAUGUGCAAAAGCCAAGAAGAAUGCUUCUCAUGCCGGUGCCAGCAAUUCAAGAGAGGUUGAAGCACAACCAAGGUCAGCUGACUCCGACAUUGAAAUCCUGGAACCUGAUAAUUCUCAUCAUGAUCCCGACUUCAGCAUAGAAGAUGAACCUACAGAUAUUUCUUCUGACUCUGGUGAUGGCAUUCAAAGAAUAACCAGUGGGAAGAAGACCGUUCAACCUCCCAAGGCGACAGUACCUAUUGCAACAACAAAAACCUCUGCAGCUGCAAAGCCUAUUAAGUCUGGCCCAAAGAAACCACCAGCCCUUGAGACAUCUGCAGCUCCCUCUUCAAAAAAAGGACGUGCACCCAAGAGAAGAUGGCCGGAAAGUACAACGAUGGACUCUUUUUUCUCCCGUAAAGCAGCUGCUUCUUCUCCUCCUGUUGCAUCUUCAAGCUCUACUGCUGGUCCAUCAGCUUCUGCUACUUCUGUAGCCUCUUCACGAGAGGAAGCUGCUGAGAACCCAGAUGAAAACUCAGACGAAUGUUACUCUAGUUCCGAGGAAGCAAGUACGCUCUCCAGGACAACGGAUAAGCGUAAGAAGUACACUUGUAAGUACUUAAAGAAGUGGGAGAAGCUAGAGGACUUCAAAGACUGGCUUACUCCAAGCCCUAAAGGCCGUCGAUAUUUCCAUUGUGCUUUUUGUCGUACUGACGUAUGUUUAGAAAAUAAAGGUCAAGGGGACCUCACCAGGCAUUCCAAAUCGAAAAAACAUCAAGGAAUAUUGGCCAACCGG